GCAGUCGCCACGGUAAUACAGAGGGUGCGAGCGUUAAUCGGAUUUACUGGGCGUAAAGCGUGCGUAGGCGGCUUCUUAAGUCGGAUGUGAAAUCCCUGAGCUUAACUUAGGAAUUGCAUUCGAUACUGGGAAGCUAGAGUAUGGGAGAGGAUGGUAGAAUUCCAGGUGUAGCGGUGAAAUGCGUAGAGAUCUGGAGGAAUACCGAUGGCGAAGGCAGCCAUCUGGCCUAAUACUGACGCUGAGGUACGAAAGCAUGGGGAGCAAACAGGAUUAGAUACCCCCGUAGUCCCUGUCUCUUAUAC
rnacentral:rRNA from 1 species